rnacentral:rRNA from 1 species
GACGAACGCUGGCGGCGUGCCUAAUACAUGCAAGUCGUGCGGACCUUUUAAAAGCUUGCUUUUAAAAGGUUAGCGGCGGACGGGUGAGUAACACGUGGGCAACCUGCCUGUAAGACUGGGAUAACGCCGGGAAACCGGGGCUAAUACCAGAUCGUUUUUUCCUCCGCAUGGAGGAAAAAGGAAAGGCGGCUUCGGCUGCCACUUACAGAUGGGCCCGCGGCGCAUUAGCUAGUUGGCGGGGUAACGGCCCACCAAGGCAACGAUGCGUAGCCGACCUGAGAGGGUGAUCGGCCACAUUGGGACUGAGACACGGCCCAAACUCCUACGGGAGGCAGCAGUAGGGAAUCUUCCGCAAUGGACGAAAGUCUGACGGAGCAACGCCGCGUGAGUGAAGAAGGCCUUCGGGUCGUAAAACUCUGUUGCCGGGGAAGAACAAGUGCCGUUCGAACAGGGCGGCGCCUGGACGGGACCCGGCCAGAAAGCCACGGCUAACUACGU